AUGCUGGCUGUGUUUUCUGAAGUUUUCGGCUCCGGAGUCAUGUUCAGUACUCUGUGCUGUUUCAUCUGUGAUGAUGUUGUUAUGUCCACGGCUCAUGAAAUAAGGCACAGACAUGUCCCAACUGCUGUUAUUUCCGUGACUGUAAUGACUUGCUGUGUAUCUGCUCUGAUGGUCAGUUGUUUCUCCUGCUUCAUAAGAACUCAGGACAUUUUAAAAAGCAUCUUUCAUUUGUCAUAUCGAUUUAAACUGAUACAACCACAUCAAAAUGAACAGAGAGUAUUUUGA
rnacentral:lncRNA from 1 species